rnacentral:rRNA from 1 species
UAAAGGUAUUCCGGUAGACGAUGGGGAUGCGUUCCAUUAGAUAGUAGGCGGGGUAACGGCCCACCUAGUCUUCGAUGGAUAGGGGUUCUGAGAGGAAGGUCCCCCACAUUGGAACUGAGACACGGUCCAAACUCCUACGGGAGGCAGCAGUGAGGAAUAUUGGUCAAUGGGCGAGAGCCUGAACCAGCCAAGUAGCGUGAAGGAUGACUGCCCUAUGGGUUGUAAACUUCUUUUAUAAAGGAAUAAAGUCGGGUAUGGAUACCCGUUUGCAUGUACUUUAUGAAUAAGGAUCGGCUAACUCCGUGCCAGCAGCCGCGGUAAUACGGGGGAUCCGAGCGUUAUCCGGAUUUAUUGGGUUUAAAGGGAGCGUAGAUGGAUGUUUAAGUCAGUUGUGAAAGUUUGCGGCUCAACCGUAAAAUUGCAGUUGAUACUGGAUAUCUUGAGUGCAGUUGAGGCAGGCGGAAUUCGUGGUGUAGCGGUGAAAUGCUUAGAUAUCACGAAGAACUCCGAUUGCGAAGGCAGCCUGCUAAGCUGCAACUGACAUUGAGGCUCGAAAGUGUGGGUAUCAAACAGGAUUAGAUACCCUGGUAGUCCACACGGUAAACGAUGAAUACUCGCUGUUUGCGAUAUACUGCAA